GGUGAAUGCUGGCGGCGUGGAUAAGUCAUGCAAGUCAAGGGGGCCCGCAAAGGGCAACCGGCAAACGAGGUAGUAACACGUAGGUAGACCCCCCAGAGUCGGGCAUAGCCAGCCGAAAGGUUGGGUAAUUCCCGAUAGUCCCGAAAGGGUAAAGGUUUUUCGCUCUGGGAGUUGCCUGCGUAGUAUCAGCUAGUUGGUAGGGUAAUGGCCUACCAAGGCUACGACGCUUAGGGGAGCUGAGAGGCUGACCCCCACGAUGGAACUGCGACACGGUCCAUACUCCUACGGAGGCUGCAGACGAGAAUAUUCCGCAAUGGGCGAAAGCCUGACGGAGCGACGCCGCGUGAAUUGAUGAAGUGCUUCGGGUAC
rnacentral:rRNA from 1 species